rnacentral:tRNA from 1 species
GGGUCGGUGGCAGAGUGGUCAAAUGCAUCAGACUGUAAAUCUGACGACUUCGGUCUACGGCGGUUCAAAUCCGUCCCGGCCCACAA